CCAAUAGCGUAUAUUAAAGUUGUUGCAGUUAAAAAGCUCGUAGUUGAACUUCGGGGUCUACCCAUUGGUCAGGCUUAAUUGUCUGUACUGGUGAGAUGGAUCUCUACCUUCUGAGGAACUUUCAUGCCAUUUAUUUGGUGUGGUUGGAAAUCAGGACUGUUACUUUGAAAAAAUUAGAGUGUUUAAAGCAGACUAUCGUCUGAAUACAUUAGCAUGGAAUAAUGAAAUAGGACGGACUGAUUCUAUUUCGUUGGUUUCUAGGAUCACCGUAAUGAUUAAUAGGGAUAGUUGGGGGCAUUAGUAUUCAAUUGUCAGAGGUGAAAUUCUUGGAUUUAUUGAAGACUAACUACUGCGAAAGCAUUUGCCAAGGAUGUGUUCAUUAAUCAAGAACGAAAGUUAGGGGAUCGAAGACGAUCAGAUACCGUCGUAGUCUUAACCAUAAACUAUGCCGACUAGGGAUCGGACGAAGUUAAUUUUAUAAUGACGCUUUAGGCACCUUACG
rnacentral:rRNA from 1 species